rnacentral:tRNA from 4 species
UGGUGUAGCUCAAUUGGCAGAGCAGCUGAUUUGUAAUCAGCAGGUUGCGGGUUCAAGUCCCAUCGCC